UACGGGGGGGGCAAGCGUUGUUCGGAAUUACUGGGCGUAAAGGGCUCGUAGGCGGCCAACUAAGUCAGACGUGAAAUCCCCAGGCUCAACCUGGGAACUGCGUCUGAUACUGGAUGGCUUGAAUUCGGGAGAGGGAUGCAGAAUUCCAGGUGUAGCGGUGAAAUGCGUAGAUAUCUGGAGGAAUACCGGUGGCGAAGGCGGCAUCCUGGACUGACAUUGACGCUGAGGAGCGAAAGCUAGGGGAGCAAACGGG
rnacentral:rRNA from 1 species